CCUACUCUUGACAUCCACGGAAUUCGCCAGAGAUGGCUUAGUGCCUUCGGGAACCGUGAGACAGGUGCUGCAUGGCUGUCGUCAGCUCGUGUUGUGAAAUGUUGGGUUAAGUCCCGCAACGAGCGCAACCCUUAUCCUUUGUUGCCAGCGAGUAAUGUCGGGAACUCAAAGGAGACUGCCGGUGAUAAACCGGAGGAAGGUGGGGAUGACGUCAAGUCAUCAUGGCCCUUACGAGUAGGGCUACACACGUGCUACAAUGGCAUAUACAAAGAGAAGCGAACUCGCGAGAGCAAGCGGACCUCAUAAAGUAUGUCGUAGUCCGGAUUGCAGUCUGCAACUCGACUCCAUGAAGUCGGAAUCGCUAGUAAUCGUAGAUC
rnacentral:rRNA from 1 species